rnacentral:rRNA from 1 species
UACGAAGGGGGCAAGCGUUGUUCGGAAUUACUGGGCGUAAAGGGCGCGUAGGCGGCUUAUCAAGUCAGGCGUGAAAUUCCCGGGCUCAACCUGGGGGCUGCGCUUGAUACUGAUGAGCUUGAAUGCGGGAGAGGAUAGUGGAAUUCCCAGUGUAGAGGUGAAAUUCGUAGAUAUUGGGAAGAACACCGGUGGCGAAGGCGGCUAUCUGGCCCGUAAUUGACGCUGAGGCGCGAAAGCGUGGGGAGCAAAGCAGG